rnacentral:rRNA from 1 species
AGUAAUACAUCGGAACGUGUCCUAUGGUGGGGGAUAACUGAUACGAAAGAUCAGCUAAUACCGCAUAAGACCUGGAGGGUGAAAGUGGGGGAUCGCAAGACCUCACGCGAUUGGAGCGGCCGAUGCCCGAUUAGCUAGUUGGUGAGGUAAAGGCUCACCAAGGCGACGAUCGGUAGCUGGUCUGAGAGGACGACCAGCCACACUGGGACUGAGACACGGCCCAG